CUCCCCCAGGGGCCACAGCACUUCCUGGAGCGACACGGGGCUGCUGCCACGCCGGUGUCACUUUAGUGCUCUCCUUCCUCACUAUCAGCAGUGCCUGACAUCAGAAUGUUCUGCACUGGAUCAGAAGGAAGAAAAAGCAAGCUCUUCGACCAUUUCUUUAAGUAAAGUGCAUGUGUAAUUGAAGUGGAAGGCUAUACAGGAACAAGAAGAGCUCUUCUGAUUGGCAUUCCCUGCUCUCCUUAGGAUCAGCCAAAGUAAGAAGGAAACAUGGAUUACAGGAUUUUCAGGAAUGGACUCAGUAAUGUGGAAUCUGCAUAGGUCCAAAGCUGAACUGCCUCACGGUGUGUGUUUGAUCUGAAGAUGUCAUUGAGGGGUCUAGAUAGACUACUGAAAUCCAGUGGCAUUCACUAUAACUAGUACAUGCAAACAGUCUCACAAUAAAUAUGAAUUGAAGAUCUCUUGUAACAAAAAAGAUACUGAACAAAAGCACAGGUGGUUGUGUGUGUGCUCUGAUAUAAAAAAAACAAUUAGGAGCAGCAAGU